AGCAGUCGCCGCGGUAAUACGAAGGGGGCUAGCGUUGUUCGGAUUUACUGGGCGUAAAGGGCGCGUAGGCGGACUGAUAAGUCAGGGGUGAAAUCCCAAGGCUCAACCUUGGAACUGCCUUUGAUACUGUUUGUCUUGAGUUCGAGAGAGGUAAGUGGAACUGCGAGUGUAGAGGUGAAAUUCGUAGAUAUUCGCAAGAACACCAGUGCCGAAGGCGGCUUACUGGCUCGAAACUGACGCUGAGGCGCGAAAGCGUGGGGAGCAAACAGGAUUAGAUACCCCGUAGUCCCUGUCUCUUAUACA
rnacentral:rRNA from 1 species